rnacentral:rRNA from 1 species
CACGUAGGGGACGAGCGUUGUCCGGAUUCAUUGGGCGUAAAGCGCGCGUAGGCGGCUCGGAAAGUCGGUCGUGAAAUGCCGGGGCUCAACCCCGGGACUGCGUCCGAUACUCCCGAGCUGGAGGCAGGUAGGGGAGAUCGGAAUUCCUGGUGUAGCGGUGAAAUGCGCAGAUAUCAGGAGGAACACCGGUGGCGAAGGCGACUACCUGGCCUGUUCUUGACGCUGAGGCGCGAAAGCUAGGGGAGCAAACGGG